rfam:Bombyx mori DNA, contig: Bm_scaf5_contig4367, strain: p50T/Dazao, build 2, whole genome shotgun sequence.
UUAACUCAAAUUUGUAUGGAGUUGGUAUGAUUACCUACGUUUGCCGCUAGGGGAGCUGUUCCAACUGCAUACAAAUUUGAGUUA